rnacentral:rRNA from 1 species
GCGUAUAUUAAAGUUGUUGCAGUUAAAAAGCUCGUAGUUGAAUUUCGGGGUUAGUAGGUUGGUCAUGCCUCUGGUAUGUACUGAUCUCACUGAUUCCUCCCUCUUGACGAACUGUAAUGUCAUUAAUUUGGUGUUGCAGGAAAUCAGGACUGUUACUUUGAAAAAAUUAGAGUGUUUAAAGCAGGCUUAGGCUUGAAUACAUUAGCAUGGAAUAAUGAAAUAGGACGUUGACCCUAUUUUGUUGGUUUCUAGGAUUGACGUAAUGAUUAAUAGGGAUAGUUGGGGGCAUUAGUAUUCAAUUGUCAGAGGUGAAAUCCUUGGAUUUAUUGAAGACUAACUACUGCGAAAGCAUUUGCCAAGGAUGUUUUCAUUAAUCAAGAACGAAAGUUAGGGGAUCGAAGACGAUCAGAUACCGUCGUAGUCUUAACCAUAAACUAUGCCGACUAGGGA